AUUGAACGCUGGCGGCAUGCCUUACACAUGCAAGUCGAACGGCAGCAUGGAGAGCUUGCUCUCUGAUGGCGAGUGGCGAACGGGUGAGUAAUGCAUCGGAACGUACCGUGUAACGGGGAAUAACGUAGCGAAAGUUACGCUAAUACCGCAUACGACCUGAGGGUGAAAGCAGGGGAUCGCAAGACCUUGCGUUAUACGAGCGGCCGAUGUCAGAUUAGCUAGUUGGUGAGGUAAAGGCUCACCAAGGCGACGAUCUGUAGCGGGUCUGAGAGGAUGAUCCGCCACACUGGGACUGAGACACGGCCCAGACUCCUACGGGAGGCAGCAGUGGGGAAUUUUGGACAAUGGGGGCAACCCUGAUCCAGCCAUGCCGCGUGAGUGAAGAAGGCCUUCGGGUUGUAAAGCUCUUUCGGCCGGGAAGAAAUCGCACAGGCUAAUACUCUGUGUGGAUGACGGUACCGGCAUAAGAAGCACCGGCUAACUACGUGCCAGCAGCCGCCGUAACAC
rnacentral:rRNA from 1 species